CCUACGGGGGGCAGCAGUGGGGAAUAUUGGACAAUGGGGGGAACCCUGAUCCAGCCAUGCCGCGUGUGUGAAGAAGGCCCUCGGGUUGUAAAGCACUUUCAGUGAGGAAGAACGCCUGGUGGUUAAUACCCAUCAGGAAAGACAUCACUCACAGAAGAAGCACCGGCUAACUCCGUGCCAGCAGCCGCGGUAAUACGGAGGGUGCGAGCGUUAAUCGGAAUUACUGGGCGUAAAGCGCGCGUAGGUGGCUUGAUAAGCCGGUUGUGAAAGCCCCGGGCUCAACCUGGGAACGGCAUCCGGAACUGUCAAGCUAGAGUGCAGGAGAGGAAGGUAGAAUUGCCGGUGUAGCGGUGAAAUGCGUAGAGAUCGGGAGGAAUACCAGUGGCGAAGGCGGCCUUCUGGACUGACACUGACACUGAGGUGCGAAAGCGUGGGUAGCAAACAGGAUUAGAUACCCUAGUAGUC
rnacentral:rRNA from 1 species